UAAAUGUGAAUUAAUAUAUUUGGUUUAAUUUCAGUUAUUUAAUUUUAAUGACUUUAAAUAUUUUGUUUUUGGGUGAAAUUUAAAUUUUUACAUAAUUUUUUUUUAAAUCUGAUAAAAUCAUAAUUUAAACUGGGAUUAGAUACCCUAUUAUUUUGUUUGUAAAAAAUUUUUGCUAGGGUAGUAUUAGUUAUGUUCUUUAAACCUAAAGGAUUUGGCGGUAUUUUAUUCUUAUCAGAGGAACUUGUCCUUUAAUCGAUAAUCCUCGUUUUAUCUUUCUUUAAUUAAUGUAUGUAUACCUCCGUUAAAAGUUUAUGUUUUUAGAUUAUUAAAUUUACUUUUUAUUUUAUUUUAUUAUAUUUC
rnacentral:rRNA from 1 species